rnacentral:rRNA from 1 species
UACGUAGGUGGCAAGCGUUGUCCGGAAUUAUUGGGCGUAAAGCGCGCGCAGGUGGUUUAAUAAGUCUGAUGUAAAAGCCCACGGCUCAACCGUGGAAGGGCAUUGGAAACUGUUAAACUUGAGUGCAGGAGAGAAAAGUGGAAUUCCUAGUGUAGCGGUGAAAUGCGUAGAGAUUAGGGGGAACACCAGUGGCGAAGGCGGCUUUUUGGCCAGCAACUGACGCUGAGGCGCGAAAGCGUGGGUAGCAAACAGG